UAUACUCACACACAUAUAUAUAUGAGGUUGUGCUGAAACGCUCCUGGCAUUGGGUAAAAGGAAACACAGGAGGAUCAGUUAAUUAUGAUUUUAAUCAAUAUAUUUCCCUCUCAGAUUCACUCACUUAUUGUAGUGGACCUUUAAUUUUUUUAAGCCCUGUAAAAGAACUUGGAAUAUUGGGCCUCCAUUCAGACCUUUUGCAAUGCCCUUAAAA